GGAAGUCCUCGUGUUGCAUCCCUC
rnacentral:siRNA from 1 species